CAAUAGCGUAUAUUAAAGUUGUUGCAGUUAAAAAGCUCGUAGUUGGAUUUGUGGUGUAUGGUGUGUUCCGGGCACUUGUUGUCUGAGUAACUUGCCAUUGCCAUCCUUGGGUGGAACCUGUGUGGCAUUAGGUUGUCGUGCAGGGGAUGCCCAUCGUUUACUGUGAAAAAAUUAGAGUGUUCAAAGCAGGCUUAUGCCGUUGAAUAUAUUAGCAUGGAAUAAUAAGAUAGGACUUUUUUGCUAUUUUGUUGGUUUGCGCGAGAAGGUAAUGAUUAAUAGGGAUAGUUGGGGGUAUUCGUAUUCCAUUGUCAGAGGUGAAAUUCUUGGAUUUUUGGAAGACGAACUAUUGCGAAAGCAUUUACCAAGGAUGUUUUCAUUAA
rnacentral:rRNA from 1 species